UGGAAGCAAACUAGACGAGGAAGGUGUUGAAGUUGCUGUCUGCCGUCAUGGGGUUUUGCUGAAGGGACUGAAUAUGUUCCGUGGAGAAAUAUUUGCAUACCCAUUAUAUCUCCAGAAACAGCUAGCUUCACAGACCGUCCAGUUUUUUUGCUCUGAUGUGGUCUGCAAAUAUUGGCCAUAUCUGCAGAAAGUUGUGGACCACUGUCCAGAGUUGGAGGACUUGCUGAACAUGCGCCCAUUUCUCUCCAUCAUGCAUGCAAAAGCGCAUUCAUGGAUGUGUGAGUUAAAAUGGGGGGGACGCAAUCAAGAAGGAGCUGGAACAACAAUCGGGGAGGAGGUUGAACAGGUUAACAGCUUCCUCUCUCGAGCAGCCAUAUGUUCCAAGUACAUGUCAAAAGCCGUUCGCACAGACAUGCUAACAAUCCAGGCAAGUGGCUGGAACAAGCGAAAGGCAGAAAACCUUGACCGGACACUGGCCAAAAGAUACAUCAAGACUGUACAAAGGAUUGCAGAGGCAACAAAGGACCUGGAGAAACUCACAGCUGAGUUAUCUCUACAGCAAGACACAGUCCAGCAGUGGGUGUCUGAUGUUCAGCAGUGGACCUCAGGAGCAACAAUCCAAAAUGACCUGCAGAGGACCAUCGAGGGGCUAUAUUUGGGCAUCAAACAGCGAAAAUUUCAGCUGUAUCGUCAGUCUGGUGGGAACAAGCGAAGGCAUCAACUGAGAAGAAAGAUUGCUGUUGAGAAGAAAGCCUUGGAAGUUGCCAUCAAUGACCACAAUGCUACUGUGGGGGAAGUUGAAAAACUGCCUCCUCCGAAUGAACUCCUGGCUGUGGACAACUACUCCUGGCCAUGGGAAUGUCAUGGUGAUAUGGAGCGGAAAAAAAAUGUUUUUGACAAGGUAAUGCUGCUGGCUAGACUGAAAGAAGAAGAAUUUAUUGUGGUUCGCGAAGUCAAGCAGCACAUGGAGUACAUGAGGAGUGUUGCUGGACUGAUUGAAGAGUUUACCUUUCAGCUCACUGAAGACACCAGUGGGAAAUGCAGUACAGAGGGCUUAAUGGAGAAAGGACGUGAGGGACUACUCUGUGUGCUGAAGAGAAGAUUGCGUGAAGUUGAAGCACAACUGGCUAAAGCACGCACAACUUACAAAAGUAUUCUUGGACUGCAAACAUUGCCCUUAGAUGACUUUUCUGAAGAGGAAGACUCAGAGAAUACUUCCUCAACUGAUGAGGAACUGGGAGAGUAGUUAUUAGGGAGAUGAUGUGUUUACAUUGUGUUGAACCCAAACGUCAGUGCUGUAAUAACUUGUAUGUGAAACCUGAGGUUAUUUUACUGCUGUUGUAAGAUUUCUUUGUGUUUAGAGCAUGUACUGCAAAUUCCUCUGAAACUGUAAAAACCCAUUAUGUUAGCCCAUUAGUCCCCACCCUCUGCCCCAACCCAAUCACUGGUGAUUCACAACUGUCAGACAUUACAAAUUACCUUGGUUUUUUUAGCAUUACAUAUUUGGUCAAAAUGUAUUGCGCAUCCCUACAUAGCUUCACUAUAUUUUGUAUAUAUUGUACCUACUGUAGUUUACAUAGCCUAUUGUAUUGUUACUCUCUCCAACAGUGUGCUAUUCCAGCUUAUGUUUCCACGUUAGUAUAUCAAUACUCACUCACUCUCACACACUCACUCACUUACACACACAUACAUACAUACACCCACUCUCACACACACUCUCACUCUCUCGUUCACACACGCGCACACACACACACACCCCUACCUAUCUAAAUAUAUAUAGUCUUUAUUUGGUACAGGGCAUAGUCUCUUAGCUCUAGAAAGCCUACUUUUUUC
ensembl:lncRNA